rnacentral:rRNA from 1 species
GAUGAACGCUGGCGGCGUGCCUAAUACAUGCAAGUCGAGCGAACAGACGAGGAGCUUGCUCCUCUGACGUUAGCGGCGGACGGGUGAGUAACACGUGGAUAACCUACCUAUAAGACUGGGAUAACUUCGGGAAACCGGAGCUAAUACCGGAUAAUAUAUUGAACCGCAUGGUUCAAUAGUGAAAGACGGUUUUGCUGUCACUUAUAGAUGGAUCCGCGCCGCAUUAGCUAGUUGGUAAGGUAACAGCUUACCAAGGCAACGAUGCGUAGCCGACCUGAGAGGGUGAUCGGCCACACUGGAACUGAGACACGGUCCAGACUCCUACGGGAGGCAGCAGUAGGGAAUCUUCCGCAAUGGGCGAAAGCCUGACGGAGCAACGCCGCGUGAGUGAUGAAGGUCUUCGGUUCGUAAAACUCUGUUAUUAGGGAAGAACAAAUGUGUAAGUAACUAUGCACGUCUUGACGGUACCUAAUCAGAAAGCCACGGCUAACUACGUG